rnacentral:rRNA from 1 species
UACGGAGGGUGCAAGCGUUAUCCGGAUUCACUGGGUUUAAAGGGCGCGUAGGCGGCCUACUAAGUCAGACGUGAAAUCCCCCGGCUUAACCUGGGAACUGCGUCUGAUACUGGAAGGCUUGAGGAUGGGAGAGGGAUGUAGAAUUCCAGGUGUAGCGGUGAAAUGCGUAGAUAUCUGGAGGAACACCGGUGGCGAAGGCGGCGUUCUGGACUGCAACUGACACUGAGGAACGAAAGCCAGGGGAGCAAACGGG